GUGAAUAUAUAAAGUGAAAUAAACAAUAAAACAACAGUAAACAUUACACAUACAGAAGUUUCAAAACAAUAAAGACAUUACAAAUGUCAUAUAUAUAUAUACAGUGUUUUAACAAUGUACAAAUGGUUAAAGGACACAAGGGAAAAUAAAUAAAUAAGCAUAAAUAUGGGUUGUAUUUACAAUGGUGUUUGUUCUUCACUGGUUGCCCUUUUCUUGUGGCAACAGGUCACAAAUCUUGCUGCUUUGAUGGCACACUGUGGAAUUUCACCCAGUAGAUAUGGGAGUUUAUCAAAACUGGAAUUGUUUUCAAAUUCUUUGUAGAUCUGUGUAAUCUGAGGGAAAUGUGUGUCUCUAAUAUGGUCAUAUAUUGGGCAGGAGGUUAGGAAGUGCAGCUCAGUUUCCACCUCAUUUUGUGGGCAGUGAGCACAUAGCCUAUUUUCUCUUGAGAGCCAUGUCUGCCUAUGGCGGCCUUUCUCAAUAGCAAGGCGAUGCUCACUGAGUCUGAACAUAGUCAAAGAUUUCCUUAAGUUUGGGUCAGUCACAGUGGUCAGGUAUUCUGCCACUGUGUACUCUCUGUGUAGGGCCGAAUAGCAUUCUAGUUUGCUCUGUUUUUUUGUUAAUUCUUUCCAAUGUGUCAAGUAAUUGUCUUUUUGUUUUCUCCUGAUUUUCUUGGGUCUAAUUGUGUUGCUGUCCUGGGGCUCUGUGGGGUGUGUUUGUGUUGCUGUCCUGGGGCUCUGUGGGGUGUGUUUGUGUUGCUGUCCUGGGGCUCUGUGGGGUGUGUUUGUGUUGCUGUCCUGGGGCUCUGUGGGGUGUGUUUGUGCUGCUGUCCUGGGGCUCUGUGGGGUGUGUUUGUGUUGCUGUCCUGGGGUUCUGUGGGGUGUGUUUGUGCUGCUGUCCUGGGGCUCUGUGGGGUGUGUUUGUGUUGCUGUCCUGGGGCUCUGUGGGGUGUGUUUGUGCUGCUGUCCUGGGGCUCUGUGGGGUGUGUUUGUGCUGCUGUCCUGGGGCUCUGUGGGGUGUGUUUGUGCUGCUGUCCUGGGGCUCUGUGGGGUGUGUUUGUGCUGCUGUCCUGGGGCUCUGUGGGGUGUGUUUGUGUUGCUGUCCUGGGGCUCUGUGGGGUGUGUUUGUGUUGCUGUCCUGGGGCUCUGUGGGGUGUGUUUGUG
ensembl:lncRNA